AUGCGAUUGGUAAGCACAUGUCAUUGGUUACAAUAAGUGCAAAACAUACGUCAGAGAGUAUUGUUCUGAUAAAAUACCAAAUGGCUAGAUGCAGAAUAUCAGAGAGUAAAGUGGCCUUCGAAUCAAACAAUCUUUUUCAUGAGAUCCUCGUUGUAUACAUCAUCAUCAUGGUAGUACAAAUCACACCAGCUAUCCACACUUCAUAGUUGCAUGGUCGAUCUCGUUGACUACUUGCCGGGGACGAAGUUGGUGGCGAAGGCCCACGCAUUGUUGUUGACAGGGUCAGCAAGGUGGUCGGCGAGGUUCUCAAGUGGGCCCUUGCCGGUGACAAUGGCCUGUACAAAGAAGCCGAACAUGGAGAACAUGGCGAGACGGCCAUUCUUGAUCUCCUUCACCUUGAGCUCUGCGAAUGCCUCGGGGUCGUCGGCAAGGCCGAGUGGGUCAAAGCUGCCGCCGGGGUAGAGAGGGUCAACGAUCUCGCCGAGCGGGCCACUGGCAACACGGUAUCCCUCGACGGCGCCCAUGAGAACGACCUGGCAGGCCCAAAUGGCGAGGAUGCUCUGGGCAUGGACGAGGCUCGGGUUGCCGAGGUAGUCAAGGCCCCCCCUCAGUGAAGAUCUGAGAGCCGGCCUUGAACCAGACGGCCUCGCCGAACUGAACACCAUUGCGGGCGAGAAGCUCAGGGAAGACGCAACCGAGCGCGCCAAGCAUGGCCCAACGACAGUGGAUCACCUCAAGCUCGCGGUUCUUGGCAAAGGUCUCGGGGUCCGCUGAGAGCCCGGCGGUGUCCCACCCAUAGUCGCCGGGAAACUCACCGGUUAGGUAACUCGGGGGCUCGCCAGAGAGCGGGCCGAGGUACAGCACACGGUCGGAGCCGUACCACGGGCUGCUCGAGGAGAUUGGCUUGGCCUUGGCGGCGGUCUUGCGCAUGGUGCCCCGGCCUCACCGAAGAGAGUCGAUGACGGCAUGUUCUUCACCGUCUUGCCAGCGAAGGCCGAAGAAGAGAGAGACAUGGUAGUGGCUGCCAUUGCGCUAGCUCUUAAAACGGUGGUGGUCGAACUCUAUGCUUCUAAUAGUAUUCUGUGAGUGUGAAGGACUGAAGAUGGAUUCAGAAGGGAGGAGGAGGGAGCUACUUAAAGAAGUGAGAAGAGAAGACAGAGGGAAUUGAUCUGUGCUGGCAAGAGAGACACAGCCUGAGAAAUCUGAUGCCACCAUCUCAUUGGUGCAGCGGCCAUCCGGGUACAGUUGGCGCAGGGACAUCCUCAAGGGGAUGGGAUAUAGUCGUGGGUAGGGCUUGGGGAUUCUGCAUGUGCACUACAAUUUGUUGUACAACUAAUAAGUUAUUGAGUUUAAUCAGUUAUUGAGGAUUCUGCAUGUGCACUUACAAUUUGUUGUACAACUAAUAAGUGUUAAUUUGCUUCCUCCGAAGGUAAUAGUCAAAAGAAGUUUUUUGUUGGUAAACUGAUAGUAAACAUGCUCGAUCAACAUGUAUUGUCCACAUAUGGAGUUAAAAAUGAAUUAGCCAGUCGUGGGGCCAUAAUUUAGCCUUUGCUCAUGUACAUAGUAACUUUAUAUAAUCCGUGCUUUUAUAGUAUUGACCGUGACGGGGUGAAACCAGAUGGCACGAUCCACCUGUAAGAACAAAAGGAUUCGGGUUAAAAGCUUUAGUGGGAUCAUUAGUGACUGAACUUUUGCUAAAUGGGGUCAAAAAAGAAAUCACACUAAAUGAAACCAAAGCUGUAAGAAACAUAAAUUGAGGGGUCAAAAAAUAGAAUUCACUCUUUUAUGAACGUGUGAGGAAAGAAAUUAUUUCAUAAUUAAUGAAAAUAAAAGUCAGCGGAAUGGGGAACAUUGUUACGCGAGGUUAUUGGGUUUGAGUAAUUUAGAUGAUUGUUUUUAAUCUUUGCUUGUAUAAUAAAAACAUCAUUUUUAUUUUGGCGUGCAGAAAAGAUGACAGAUAGAUCUUGUGAUCACAGAUAUGAUGCUCUAAUUGUUGCCUCUGAGUUUCUGUAUUCUAUAUCCGGGAAGCAGCCCCAUGCGUGCCCUGCAAAAUUAGUAUGACUAAGAUUGUUAUUUUUGUAUAUACUUCCUUGUUAAUUGGGAUCUUUCUUAUCGACCAAAUCACCUAAUCCCAUCAAAAUUCUUUUAUGUCCUUUUCAUUGGCCUGGGUAUUUCUAGAUUUUGUAGUUAGUUCUGGAAUAUCCAUCCCUGAAAAAGGAAUGCGGUACACGUCAUUUUUACGGUAAGUUUGUUCACUUCCACGAGAGUAUGUAUUGCUCUGAUAAAACAUUGGGGGACAUCACAAAGUGUCUACUUCAAAAUCUGACAAUCUUUUGUUCAUAAGAUCCUCGUAAUUAAUUUACAUCAUCAUCGUGGUAGUACAAGUGAAACCAGCUACACACACUUGGUCGCGAGCAUAGUCGAUUUGCAUAUACACAUGUGCCUCUCAUUGACACCUUACUUGCCGGGAACGAAGUUGGUGGCAAAGGCCCACGCGUUGUUGUUGACGGGGUCGGCAAGGUGGUCAGCGAGGUUCUCAAGGGGACCCUUGCCGGUGACGAUGGCCUGAACGAAGAAGCCGAACAUGGAGAACAUGGCGAGGCGGCCGUUCUUGAUCUCCUUCACCUUGAGCUCAGCGAACGCCUCAGGGUCGUCAGCCAAGCCAAGGGGGUCGAAGCUGCCGCCGGGGUAGAGAGGGUCGACGAUCUCACCGAGCGGACCACCAGCAACACGGUACCCCUCGACGGCGCCCAUGAGCACGACCUGGCAAGCCCAGAUGGCGAGGAUGCUCUGGGCAUGGACGAGGCUCGGGUUGCCAAGGUAGUCGAGGCCGCCCUCGCUGAAGAUCUGGGAGCCGGCCUUGAACCAGACGGCCUCGCCAAACUUGACGCCGUUGCGGGCAAGCAGCUCGGGGAAGACGCAACCGAGCGCGCCGAGCAUGGCCCACCUGCAGUGGAUCACCUCCAGCUCCCGGUUCUUGGCGAAGGUCUCGGGGUCAGCCGAGAGCCCGGCGGUGUCCCACCCGUAAUCGCCGGGGAACUCACCGGUCAGGUAGCUCGGGGGUUCGCCGGAGAGCGGGCCGAGGUACAACACGCGGUCGGAGCCGUACCACGGGCUGCCUGAGGAGACCGGCUUGGCCUUGGCAACGGUCUUGCGCAUGGUGAUGCGGGCCUCUCCGAGCGCCGGCAGGUUCUUCACCGCCUUCCCGGCGAAGGUCGAGGAGGAGAGGGCCAUGGUGGCGGUCGCCAUUGAUGUACUGCUGUACCGUGCUCUCCUAAGAGUGUGAGGCUGGCUCUGGUGUGCGUGGAGAUGGUUUGAGAUGGGCAGAGGAGGUAGCUAUUUAACGGUGCUCUGUGGGUACAGAGAAGGGAAGAUGAUGAGAGAGAUGGCUAGAAAAAUCUGAAGCUGGGAUGCCAUUGGUGGAGUGGAGAUAUCGGCACAGUUGGCGCAGCGAGAGCCUCAAGCCGGUGGAGAUAGCUCAGACUUGCCAUGUGGAGAGGGGCUAUUGGGUGCCGUUGAUUUUCUCGUGGCUGAGGAUAUUGAUGUCGCUGAUAUUUUUUACUCGGACUGGAAGUUGCUGUUUUAGCCGUCAGAAGCUGUUAAAAAACGGAAACGUCGUGAAGGGGAUUGAUCGCCUCGUCUUGUGUCGUGUAUGUUUAGCAGUUGUUGUUUUCACUGUAUUUUCUUGGUCCUCACCGUAUCGUGCGUGGAUGUCGGUAAGAACCUGUAGAAAUGAAAUUCGUGUGCUUCUGCUUCUGAACCGAAACUGCGUAGUGCCAGCUACUGGAGACUGGGACUGGAGGGUGCAGGCUUGAGACGGCGUCAGUUUUGGGCCUAGUGAAACCACGAGGAGGCAUGCCUCCGCGCUCAAGCAGCCAUGGGCCUCAUUGUACUGGGUUGCGCAGCCUUUCAGAGUGGGCCGGAAGCAGGUAGAGUGCGGCUCGUUAUCUCCAGAUACGCAGCAGCCCGUCGCCCCGUCCUCAAACCGUCUAGUCAAAGGAAAAAAAAAGUCCUCAGAUGAGUCCAUCGUGCAGACAUUGGACUCUAGCUGCUCCCACCGGAUCACCGCAAAACCAAAACGAAAAACCCACGGUACCGAUCGACCUGGGCCUGCGGUACAACCAAAGCCCAAAAAGGAACCCACGGAGCGGAGCCGCCCGGGCCCUGCACGCUAUAGCAAGCAACAUCGUCCGUCCGUUUACUUUCCGAGGCCCACCUUUCCCACAGCUCAGAUCCAAAGGAAUCACACGCGCCCGAGCUCUUGAGAAUUCCAGAUCACGCAAGGGCAGCAAGGCGGCCACCGCACGGCACGGCAGUCGGCAGGCAACGCCCUUCCCGCCGUUCCGUCCGUUGGUUCCCGGGCGGGAACGUGCGCCCCCUCGUGAUCCGGCUUUUGCUUGCCCACACGCACUCCCGAGUACUCCCGGCCCGACUCAAUUAUCUUCGUCGCCUCGCUUGUCCCAUCGCUUCUCUCGCUGUCACAACCCAGUCCCUUCCGGAACGCCAAAACAGUCCAACCAACUUCGUCUUCCAGAGCUCAGCCAGCCAGCCGGCCACCACCAAGCACCAACGCCGCCCGUCCCCGCUGCUACCAUGUCCAUGUCGCUGCGCCUCGCUCUCCCCUCGUCAGCGCCCGUGCUCCCGCCGCGGGUGCCGCUGCCCGCCGGGAAUGCCGCCCGUCGCCCCUCACCCUCCCCGGUCCUCGCCACCGCCGCCGCCGCCUUGCGGACGGGCGCGCUCAGGUGGGUUCCUCUGUCCUCGCCCGGGUUUCGCGCCUGCACUGACGCCCGCGUAAUCGGCCUCGUGCUCAUGGUGAUGCGUGACUGUAUGUAUGCAGGGGAUGCGCUUCGCUGCCGCUGAAGCCGCAGCCGCCGGGCAUGAUGAUCACGGGCGCGGGCGCGGGGCGCCGGGGGUCCGCCGCCGUGUGCCGCGCGUCGUCGGCGUACCUCAGCCCGACCACCAUGCACUGGGUCUCCGCCGCGGCCACCGCGUGAGUGCCCCCCCUCCCUCACUCAAAAGUACUCUGCCUUUUUGGGUUCACCAGCUCGGCAACUGUUCGCUCUUUUGCCUGCGAGGACCGUGGCUAACUGCUAGCAUCCGACUGUAAAAUGCGGGAUCCUCGUUAUAGAUUCUGCGGUCUGUUGAUGUCGCUUGCUCAAAAAUUUCAUGGCACGCUACAGCGACAAUUGGAGUACUACUUACUUUUCUUGAUCAAUGAUCACGCGCUGCUAAUCUUUCUAUAUAGCGAGUAAAAAGGACAUCAUGCGAUGCAAAAAUAUAUGAAUGCAGAGCACCAAGGUAAUCUUUCUUCUGUAGCUGUCGAUGUCGUGACUUGAAAUAGCACCACUACUUGUUUUCUUCUUGAGGAUGAAUAGGCAUGUAAAGUUGAACACAACACAAAGUACUUUCUGCAAACUCAGCUAGUGCUGCUGCCUGGUGAAAAGUUGUGCUGUGCAGUUUAUUUGGGUUUUCAGUGAAGUGAAAUGAUUUAGAUCGCCACGUAAAUACAGUGUUAAACUCCCAGUACCCUUUAAUGAUUUAAUGAUUGUUCUUUUUGCAGGGUGCUCUUGCUUGCUAAAGGCACAGGCAUACACAAAUCUUUCCUCGUGCCCCUGUUUGCUCUUCAAGCACCUAGCAGUGUGGUCUCAUGGAUCAAGUAAGAUGCUGCUAUUUGGUGCAGAGAAUUAUCUAUACCUUUUCCUUCUCUUUGUUUCUCAUUGAUGUUUGUUCGUUUUAAAAUAAGAACACUGUCUUGAGGGCCUACUUAUUCUAUGGCAUCAAUUCCUAAUUUUAGGAGUGACUAUGGACUGUGGACUGCUUUUCUUGCUCUUUUGGUGCGCUUGUUCUUCUCCAUUCCAGGUAGUGUAAAAUAAGAUUCAUCAUAUAAAGGUUCAAGAUGGUGUAGGCUUACAGUUACUUUAUACCUUCAUAUCACUAUCACAGGUGAACUGGAGCUCCCAUUAUCAGCAAUGCUGCUUCUGAACGUUGCUCCUUACCAGAUGAUGAAUCUGAGGUACAUCACAGUAUCACAUUGCACUGUUUGGAAAUAAGAUCUUAGCAUCACUAGAACUAGUGCAUCUGUCAAAAUUGAAUUCUAUGAAAAUAUCACCAUGGCAUUAUUAAUAACUCGUAUUAAUAUAUCGAUGUUCUCAAUGAAACUAACUUGAGUUACCAUCUCGCUAUCAUGUUUCUGUACACUACUGUGUCAUAUGUGAAUAGCAGCAAGUACAUCCAACUGACUAUUCAGGAACCACUCCAUAGAGUAUUUUAGGUUUUCAGUUUAUGUCCUGAUUCUGAAAAUUGUCAUUUACCUUUUUGCUCAUGUGCUCACUUUCCAUGUACAGGGGAACUCAAGGUGGUGCGAUAGUGUCUCUGGCACUAGCAGCGUAUCUUGCCUUUCAGCACUUCACCCGGGCCGGAGGUUUGGGGAGAGCCUUUGAUCAGGGAUCGAUAAUUGCGACCUUGGCCAUCAUCUGCGUCACAGUUAUCAACGUGAUCCUGCUGUUCUGAGUUGGAUCAAGUUGGCAAGAGUUCGCUGCCCCUCAUUGUAGGUGUGGAGGGGGAGCAGGAGGUACUCAGGAGUGCAGAUAAAUAAAACCUUGUAAUGCAUCAUCCUGACAGACUUCCAAGCCCGUUUCAUCGUAAUAAGAAUCUUUACUGCUACUUAACUUGCAGUUGCGUCCGUGGUGGCUCGUACGUCGUCCCAACUUCACAGAAAUUACGUCUCUAUGCCACCGUCCGAACUCCGAUUUGUUUCUUCUCUUUCGUGUUCUCGUGUCUCGCCCAGCCCGCUGCCCACGCGCCACCGCUCCUCCUGCCCUGCGCGCCGCUGCCACCACCCACCUGCCUCUCCUCGCGCUCCUCCUCUGCUCGCACCGCCACCGCCCCGAUCUCUCUCUGCCAGCGUUGUCUCCUCCUCCUCCUCGCACACACCCGCCCAGAUCCACCUCCACCUCCUCGCACACGGCCCGCCCUGAUCCACCUUCUCCUCGCGCGAGGCCGAGGAGCGCGAGGAGGAGGCCGAGAUGCGCGCCGAGGCUGCCGCCCGCCAGGCCGAGAUCCGCCUCCUCCUCAUUGUGCUGCCGCCGUGGGAGAGCCGUCCUCCGCCGCGCCGCGUCCCCGUGACGCCACCUGCUCUCCCCCUUCUCAACGCAUCGAGUGCCCGAUGCCGCCAGCCGAGGCAAGGGUGCUCGAGACGUCCGCGAUGACUGCUUCGAAGUGGGAGGCAUCAAUAUUGUGUGGUAAGGUGAGUUCUCGAUUACUGCUUCCCCAUCCUCUUGUGUAGAAAAAUCUUUGUUUCACUAUUCUUUGAUAAGUAUGUGUGAGUGUGUCUUAAUGGUUUCUUCUGUUGGCUCUUUGUAGACUCUAGCUCUUUGUAAUCUUUUGUGCUUUAUGGAAUCCAGUAGAAAAAUCGGCAUUAGGCUGAUUUUAACUGAUAUUUCAAUCUCUUUCAUGCCUUUUAUGUUUGUAUUUUCCUGAUUACUAAUGGUUCACUAGCGUCAAUUCCAUCCGGUUAUUUAAUCAAACAAUAGCAUCUGUAUCAUUGUUUUCUCUUUCACUUUUGCUUGUUUUAUUAGUCUGUCCUAUAUGUGCUAAUGCUAGAGCUUGAAGUCUCUGCUACUGGAUAUUGGCAUUGAAAGAGCAACAGGAAUUGUCUGGUCUAUCACUGGAGGCAAUGAUAUAACUUUGGUGGAGGUAUUCCUGACGUGUGUGUUUUUUCUGCAUAUAAACUACAGUGUGUGUGGGUAUACAUAGCUACCAUCAAAGUUUGUUUCCUACAUGUUAGUGAGAAUCGAAAAUUGCUGGCUUUCAUAGCUCCCUGAAAGUUAAUACAUUUUGAUCCAAUUGGAUAUAUGUGUGAAGUUAUAUGUGAACUGAAUCCAGUAUUAUUGAUUCACUUUCAGGUGAAUGCAUCAGCUGAAGUUAUAUAUGAUCUUGUUUUUCUUUUUUGAGGGAUUAUAUAUGAUCUUGUUGAUCCUAUUACAAAUAUGAUAUUUGGCUCUGUUUUAGACCCAUCAUAUGCUGGUCAAGUAAGUUAACAAAGCAUUUGGUCAAGUAAGUUGACUUGUCAUAUGAAAUCUCAUCUUUUGACUGUACAGCCUGAACUUCUAAUACAACGGCAUCCAUGCGGGGAAGAUGAAUAUGUGAAGUCAGUGGCCGAGUUAAUUGAGAAGGAGCUAUCAAUUUUUACAAAUUCUGAAGAGGUCUGUGCAUUCCCUUCUCCCUCUUUUUGUUUUUCCUUUACUAUUUUUUGUUCAUCAAAUGACUUUCUAUUCGAUUUUUGGUAAAGUAGAAGGUAACAACUGUUGUAGAUUGAACAUUAUCUUAGUGUUAGGCAUCCUGUUGAAUAUCUCUUAAAUAAGUAUCCCAUCUACUGAAUGAUCUAUCUGCGGUCCGUCCUGGCAUUCAUUUGCUUGUCUCCUUUUGUGAUGAUGCAGCGAAUUGAGGAAUCAACAGAUGAUUUUUUUCUGUAUUACAUUUAGUUGCUCUUUGCAUGAUUCCUUUUUUUUACCAGCUUUGCAUGAUUCUUUUGGCAUGGAUGUUGACUGGGAGAUGAAAAAUAUACUUCAUCCAGGUUGAAAAGACAAACAUGGUUCUCCUACUGUGCUCCGUUUUCCAUAUUGUCGUAAUAACACCAAUAUACUGAUAACUAAACCCACUAGAGAGAAAUGUUUAUUAUAAAUGUUUUAAGUUUAAUUCGCUAAACAAUCUGAAAAUUAUGUACAAUCUGUAUAAGUUGAGAUAUAUUAGAAUAGUUUGAUGAGCUAUCAUAACGAUCCAUCUUAAUUAGGACCAAGACUUUAGCUGGUUACCUAGGUUACCUGUAGUCAAAAUUGUUUAAGGCAAAUUGUAUCAAGGUUUGAUGGUUAGAUUGACACUCCAAUUGUUUCUGUUCAUAGAUCUAUCAUCUACAAAUACUUCUUGUGUUGCAGGUUAUGAGCUAUGGCAAUCUUCGUAGAGUUCAAAUGUUGUGGUUCGAUACAGAACAGAAAAAAGAAGUCUCUUUUCCUCUCAAGAUGAGAGUAAGUAUCGGCAAAAAAUAAUAAUCUCUUCGUAGCGAUGCAAUUUCUUAUCACUCAGUCAUGAUGCAUAUAAGAGUAAGGGGAAUGGGCUGAUUUUGUGUAUAUUCUACAUUUUACUUUUCAGUAGUAAUUAGAUGAUUUAUGAUUUUCUUACAUCUCUCAAGGGAAGAUGUUGAGGGAGACCAUAAGGACACUACACAUUAUGUUGCGAAGAUAAUAUUGCUUUCCUGCUCUUAACACAGGACACCAGAGCAUGCAUUACAAAAUAAAUAUUCGAUGAGGUAUGGACGGUUGUCUUGAUGUGUUUAAUUUUGCAUUCUUUCCAAUAAUUUUGUUGGAGAACACGAGUGUCUUGACUUGUUUCGGUACUCCAACAUGGAUGCUUUGUGAUAUUUACAAUUGUGAGAAGAGGAUCCAUGGCCAAGUUCUUCGAUAAUAAUCGUUCAUGUGGAAUUUUGGAUUGUAUAUUGGUCCAUUGUAUUUUUUUUCCUCUCAUAUUGUCACAAUUAUUGAUUAUAUGACUUGGACUAUGUACAUGUUCAUAAGCAGUGGUGUCUCCUUAUCUGAUGAGGAUGACCAUGCAUCAAUUUUUCAUGUUUGUCAUUCUUCUUGUUAAGUUCUAGAAUGCUCAUUUUUCCGUUGCAACGCACGGGCACUUAACUAGCAAGAAUGAUUUGUGAGUUGUGACAUGGCUGACAGAUCUUCAUGUAUGGUAUAGUUUUGGUCUAUUAGUGUUCAGUGCUAUUCUAUGAUUAAUAUUUGCUCCCGUUUGUUGAUCUUAUUGUUGGAUUUUGCACCAAGAUUUUGGUGUCAACAGGUCUCAGCAGAACGUUGGCUACCGACAGAUAACACAGGGCAAUUGGUCUAGAUUCUGUCAUACUUGUAUACCUUUUCUACUCCCUCUAGUCCAUAAUAGGCGCUUGGGUUUUGUACUAACUUAUUAUGGAUCGAAGAGAGUAUAAAAUAACUUCUAGCAUAGGGUCACGGACCUCGCCAAGACUGUGACGAGCCUAUGGGUCCGCUGGAUCUGAAGGAUGCGGAUUGACCCACUUCGUUUUUUGUGUGGCCUCGGUUGUGAUAUCCUCGCCCAAGCUCAAUAGAUUGAUAGAAAACCUUUGCUAACAAGGUGCAUCUUCUUUUCUGGAAUCUCGUCUCAAUAAAACAUCUCGGUUCAGCGUGCUUAGCUUGAAGCAAUAUUGGUUUGGCGACCUUGUGGGGCCAGUCUAGAGCAUAGAGAGCUACGAGGAAUAACUACUUGGUUGGGUGAGUUGACCGACGGAGCAGGAACCUCCGUCCAUAUAUGAGGCACUCUUGCAUUACUAGAUUCUCAAUUUAAUUAAUUAAAUAUGUAUGUUUUUUAACAAAAAAAAACACCAUUAGUCCUUAUCAAAAGAACUUUCUAAUGAUUUUUUUAUUAUUUAGUUUAUAUUUAUUUAGCUAAAUUGACAAUCUAGUGAUGCGUGUGUGCCUCAUAUUAUGGGACGGAGGGAGUAAGCUCCUUAUUAACAGACUUCUGGUUAUGUUCCAGAUCUUGUUGCUGGCUCCUCUUACGGAGUUAUGGCAUCAAACUCUCGAAGCUGAAUUGGAAAUCAUGGGCUCCUAGUGGGUGAAGUUUUUCAUUUAUCUCUCUUGUUAGAACAUUGUUGGAUGACUGAGAGGGUGCCAAGAUGUCUGCGGCAACACGCCUUGAGGUGCUUGUUGUGCGACCAAUCAUUACAUCAUGGAUAGGGGCGGAGCCAUGAAAAAUUUGUAUGGGGACCAAGGUACAAAAAUACAUAGCUUAUAGUAUAAAAAACAUGUUGGUCCUGUGGCUCGGUCAUUUACCAUGGAUCAUUUCCUUACCAGAUACGCGCACCCUCUACGUGAUGUGUUGUUAUCGAUCUGAUCCGUUGCUGGUCCCUCUGUAGCGAAGACGUGUUUGUUAAAUGGUGGCACUUGAUUGUGCGGUACUUCUUGAGUGCCUCACGAAAGGUCACCUCGUCGAUCAUUUUGCUCAUGGCGUGGUGGAUCCAUAAGUACCGUCACGCAAUCGUCUUCGACAAUAUUUGACCCGACUUGAAUUGAGGCUAGUUAUAGCGUGAUUUCAUAAAAUUUCAAACUGAAUUCUUAUACCUAAUUCUGUGCCAAACAAGUUCAUUCUAAAAUCGUAUGAAAAUUUGAGAAUUAUAGAUCGAAAUGGCAGAUGCGAGUUUUUUUUUUUUAAACUUAGAUGCGAGUUGUCUGGCUGUCUUUUUUGCACAUGGGCCAGACAGAGCUAAUUUAUUUUCCUUGACACGCCCUCUCUCUUCUGCCCAUCUCGGUGCCGAGCGCCCCAGCCCCCUCGCUCCGUCGGUCGUCUUCCUCCUCGAGCGCCGCCACCCCUUCCUCUCCAUCCCGCUGCCGAGCGGCCCCAGCCCGUCUUCCUCCUCGCGCGGGCGUGUCCACCGCAGGUUGAUCUCCCCUUCGAUUCUUCCGCUCCCGGCCGUUUCUCCUCCCAUCACCCCACGAACGGAUCCCGCACCUUUAGCUCCCCGUUUCAUCUCCUUAAUCUUCCCCCAAUUCGUAACUGAGGGGAAAAUCAAGGUAGGGCGGGGCCGCCCUACUGGGUCCUCCGCCCGUGACGUCUGUUCCAGUACUAUUGUGUUACAUCGAGUGUAAUUUUGCCUGGUUAUUUGACCUGGAUUGUUGGAUUGUUGGAUUGAAUAGUAGUACUUCACAGCCGUGUUUUCUAGCAAGGUCAACAUCUCCUUUCCUGUUACUGAGCGUGCAAUCUGGGUUAUCGUAAAUUUCCGUAAGUGGAGAUAUUUGAAUAGUUCAGUUUGGCUUUGUUACUUAUGUACUGGAAAACCUCGUGCGUGCCAACAAACUAAUUCAAAACAUGUAUGUGAUAUACAAACUCUUUCUUCGCGGUAUAUGCAAUAUUGCAGUUUUUUUCAUGGGGUUUGUGUGGUACGUCAUAAAUCUUAAGUGACUGGACUUGUUAUGUACUUAUGUCAUUUAGCAUUUUUGUUUUACCAGAGUGUGGUAAAUCAUCAGUGCUGUAUUUAUACUUUCUGGAUUCAUUGACAUUGAGUACCUGGAAGUCUUGGGAGCAAUUUAUGGCAUUUAUAUAGUAGUACAUGUUGAUCUUCAUUCAUUCAGUCCUCUGAACUGUUAAGAACAAUGGCCUUGUCCAAAAGAUUCCCACCUUUUCAGUUUCAAUGUGUCCCACUCUUAGUACCCGACCGGCCUACUAUCUUGGUGUAAGAUAUACCAAACCAAUGUUAAGUUCAACGUUAGGACUUAGAACAUACUUCUGAGACCUGUUAAAGAACUGGGCCUGUAAACUUGGCAUCUGGUUCUUUUUUCCACACACAAAAAAUAAACAAUUGAGAUACCCAUGAAUGGUUUGUGCACUAUCCAUCUCUCCCUUUUUCAAAAGAUAAAUUUUGUGCAUGUCCUUUACAUUGGUUCCCUAGUACUCCCUCCGUUUCAUAUUAAAUGACUCAAAUUUGUCCAAAUAUGGAUGUAUCUAUGCCUAAAAAGCGUCUAGAUACAUGUAAUAGAAAGUCACUUAAUAUGGGACGGAGGGAGUAGUUACUUAUGCUAACAUGUUCAUCAUAACUGCUACAUUAUGGUUCAAAUGUGAAUAUAUUUUCCAGAAUAUGUUUCAGAUUUCCUCUCCAAUUUAUGUAUGUACUGCUGUGUAUGUAUGCUAAAUAUUUGGUGGCUUUGAGAUUAGUUAGCUGAUAAGAAAUUGAUCUCCUUGUAGCUUGUUUGGGCAUCUGUUCGUGCAGUAUGUCGGGGAAGCCAUCUGAUGAUAUGGCUGGUCAAGUGAGGCCUGAAGGAGAUGUUUCAGACGUGAAAGUAGAAACUGCCAACCAGAAUAAAGGAACUGAUAUGCCUUCACCACAGGAAGAGGUAUCAUCUUUUGUUAACAAUCGUAACGUUUAUUUAUCCUUUAGCAUUUAUGUAUACUUACAUGCUAUCAUUUGUAUUAUUUUGCUAAUUUAGCUUACAUUUUAAGACUGCCAAUAUUAUAUCCAUAACCACGAUGUAACUUAACCGGAUACUUGCAGGAGGCAGCAAUCAAGAAAAAAUAUGGUGGAGUACUGCCCAAAAAGUCACCACUUAUAUCCAAGGUAUCAAUGGCUUAGUAUAUUACUACGUUCUGCCAUAUAUACAAUUUCAUCAUCUGUUUAUAAAGCAGUAAGGGAAGUUAAAUUAUUUUUAGCUCCAUAUCCAUAUAAUUUCAUCUGCAUUAUGUCUAUCAGGAUCAUGAGCGAGCUUAUUUUGAUUCUGCUGAUUGGGCUCUGGGCAAGGUAUCGUACUGUUAUUUUGAAAAGCUAAAAGUAAAACUGAUAUUUGGAAGCAAUGUUAACUCUUACACUACAAUCUUGCUCCCUUGAUCCUUGGUUUCCUGCAGCAAGGAGGACAUCCUAAACCUAAAGGACCACUUGAAGCACUUCGACCAAAAUUACAGGUACUGACUGAAACUCUCCCUCAUUGCUUGGUACUCAUGAGAAUGUACUUGCCUUGUAUUUUGCUACCGUAGAGACUUAAUUUUUCUAUGGCAUUAGCUGCUAGCUGUUUGAUUAGGGUAUUUGGUGUUUUUUCAUUCUAAUAAUCAAUAGAGUUCAUGUCCAUAUUUUUUCUGUUGUUUGGCCCAGUAUUUAAACUGGAUUGAGUUUAAAUGAAAAGUCCCCUUCAUUGUUGUCUUUUUUUUUUUUGCUUAAGAGGCUCAUUUGUAGGCGAAUGUAGUGAUAGUUAUGAAGUUAACUUAUGCUAUACCAUACUCAUUUGUUGGCUUACAUCUUUAUCAAUUUUGUUACAGCCUACUCAACAGCAAGCCCGUUCACGUCGAUUUCUUCAUGCAUCUGCUGACAAUGAAGGUACUUGAUGUUACAAGAUGUCAAGCAAGAAAUCCUAAAUGUUUAUUUUGUCAUCGAUUCAAGCGUCACUUUUGCCUUGCAGAGGGGGGCAAUUCACCCACUGAGGCUACGAGCCAGAACCAGGAUUCCACCGAGGGCAAGGACGAGAGCAAGGAAUGAGUACAUGACGAGUAGCUCCAUGUUUUUUCCCAAACUGAACCAUGCCGUUUGAUAAGCCCGCGCCAUUUUGUGGCUGUAGUAAUAAGUACUCUAAUGCCCCUUAAUGCUCGCUGAAUUUUGAACCGCAUUGGAGACAUGCCGCGUCUACUGCGUUCUGCUGUUCCAUGUCUUGUACCUGUAACGAUUUGUGAUGGAAUUUGGAACAUUUUCGUGGCACUGAGUGUCUGCGCAGACAAAAUAAAAAUGUGAGCCUGUGAGAUGUUUCUUCCUUGUGCCACUACUGAUGAGUAGAACCAGAUUCCCUGAAACAAAAAAGAUGAGUAGAACCAGAUUCUUCUAACCUGCGGUGCUUGUUUCUUCUGGUGCUGCGCUGAGACGGUUCAUGUCUGAUGUUCGAAACCUGGGUGCCUGGCAAUAUCUGAACUAUUGAUGUUUUCCCGACUGCUGUAGGUUACGUAUUAUAUUUGAAUUUCAUAGGAUUUCAAGAGUUAUCAUGUAGGAGUAACUCAGUUUGGCGCUAUGGGAGUUUGUUGUCUUUGGACUCGUAGUUUUGCGAAAUUGCUGAUUUUCAAACAUGUUCCUUGACGAAUUUUCGAAACACAGUCCCAUCAUCGAAUCAAACAAAAACUGGAGCAAGCAUUGCUCUUUUAUUUUUGGAGAGGGGAUCAAGCAUUGCUAAUCGCCACCAAUCUGGAUGAAUCUCUGGAGUUUGACACGCCCUGGUCAAGCAUGUUGAGGAACCAACGACGGGGUGGGGUGGCCACCGAGUCGUGCACCCCCACCAAUCCCCCUGUUGACUCAUUUCUCCAUCUAAUAGUUUGUUGUGGACUCUUAUUCAUUGAGCCUAUAUAAAGAAGAGGAGGCUACCCCUCGUACGUACACUUGAGAUCAGAAAUUAAUAAAGAGCUCAUGUUCCUCUCUACUUGGUGUUCAUCUACUUUACUGUACUUCAUGAUUGUGCGUGUUUGAUUAGGAUCUUGGUGUGCAACCUCAGGACCGGUCAGCCGGCAAGAGUUGCACAACACGUUAUCAGCACGAGUCUCUACCCCCAGCCUUCAUCGAGCCUACUCCACGCAGGCUCUCGACAUAAAUCACGGAGGUAUUGGAUCCGAAAUUUUAUUGCAAAAAUGGAUUCCUCUUUGUGUUACGAUUCCGUUUUUGCUAUUAGAUUAUCUUUCGGAUUUUUCUACCCACGGUAUGGAAUUCCCUCGCGAGAUGUUGCCGACCAAGUCGCCGGCCAAUGCCGAUCAUCCUCGCCGCAGGAGGGACUUGUUGACCAUAACCAUGGGGAGACGGUGUCGCACUGUUGUGCUCACCGCCGGCCACCGCAGGCUCCAUGCCGCGAGCCGUCCCAAGCCACCCCAUGGAGCCGCUGCAGUGGAGCACGCCGUCGAGCGCUGCUCCUAGGCGCUGGCCUGGCCGCUGCUCCGAAGUCGUCACCUCACGCACGACGCCGCACCAGCUGCUUCAAUGCACGAGCGCUGCCCUCUGGAUGUGCGCGGGCUGCUGCAAGCACUGGCCGUGCGGGAACUGCCGCUGGCCACGAGCACCUCCGCUGAGUGCCGCUGCUAGAUAUCGCGCCUCGCCAACGCUGCCGCCAGACAUGUUUGGGCGUGUGUCGCCGCGUGCCCCCGCGUGCACUGCAGUCCCGAUGCCAUCGAACCGGUGGCCGUCAGGCUCCGCCGCGUUGGUGCGAGGCCUCGCUGCGCACCCCUGCUGGCGCUGCCGGCCCUGGACGCGCGCACCGCCCGGGCCGCCUCAGGAGCGUGCCAGGCACGAGCGCGUGCCGCCGCCGCCGUCCCCACCUUGUGCGCAGGCUGCCGCUCAGGCACCGCCGCCGCGCCUCGACAACCCCCGUGCGCGGGGCCGCCGCCGUCGCUCCAUUUGCGGGCACGAGCGCGCGGGCGCAGGCCGCCACUGAUGCCGCCUCAGUCGCGGGCACAGGCCGCCGCCGCCACCCAAGGAGAAACCCUAAUGAGGGCUGGCGCGGCUGGGCUGGGCCAGGCGAGGCAGGGAGUUGGGCCACCGGCCCAAUAGGCGAGCGGGCGGGCCAGAUUCGGUCUGGGAUGGUAGAUUUGCAUUUCGGCCCUUGGUCUUUCUGUAAUUAAGCGCAUUGUUUACUGUGCUGCGUUUUGCGACUAAGGCCUUGGAAUUGUCAGUUUUGGCUGAAAUCUCGUAUUUUGGCUCAAAAUGGCUUCAGGAAUGUGUUUUUGGGGCUAAUUUUCAUGUUUAGGAAACGUUUAACUUGCCAUCUCUAUGCACAUGCUUGUAUUACCAUGUUUUACCGUUGUUGAUUAAUUGUAAAUAUGCUUUAUUGCUUUUAAUUAUUAAGUAAGACAUGAACUCGUAUGUUUUAAAUAUUGGAACGUUGUUAUGAACAACUAUAUCAUUUUAUCACAUUUAUGCGCUGGGUUACAUGAGGUUACCUCGAGAUUAUAUGUUGAAAUCUCGUAAAAUUUCGCAUUAAUGAUAUGAAUCACAAACCUGCAGUUCGAGGAGCCGACCUAAAAUGGUUGGACUUGAUUUUUGGAUGUGGAUUUGUUCUCGGAGCUUGGUAGCUUUUGAGGAGGUUGAUCGGCUUGGUGUCUUGUUGACUACCGCCACCACCCUGCGAGGAGAACAUUUAGGCAUUGCACCAUCCCUUUGUACUUUUGGACAAGUACAUACAUGUUGGGAAAGUGUUAUGCUUUACCAGAUGGUCCUGGUUCCACAUGUGUUGUUCAUCCUCGCAUGUCAUAAGUAUUUUCAGGUUAUGUAAUAGCGCGAGGUUUAACCUCGCUAUAACUCAGAGGGGGAGGCGCAAAAUGGAAGCACUAACUGAUUCUAUUAAGCUUGGCCAACCCCCGUUGAGUUUGUGCUAUGUGUGCUUUCACACACGUCUCUCCCGACUAUUGCUACCGUGAUAGCUGAUAAUGGGAUGAGGCCAUGCCGAACUGUGACAUAUGCGGAGGAUGAGGACACCAUCGUCAAGUGCACUUGGCCCUCCUAAUGAUUCAUUUGUCAAUUGAUUUUGAUGAUUCUAUGAUAUAAAAUCACCUGAGGUGGUUGUAUAUGCUCUGAGCAAGCAAAACUUGUUCUUUCAACGCUAGGAUGAUUUGUGAGUUCAUCCAUUAAUUCCUUUAUUUAAUACUGAUGGCCUGUUAUGUUCUGAAAUAUGUAAUGCAUUUACUUAAUUAUGUUGCUACUUCCUCGCUUCAUAAAAUAAUUAGAUGCUAUAUUUUAGAACACGUGGCGCUCGAAUGGAGGAAACAUGCCUUGUGGAUAGUUGUACCACAAACACCAUCUUGAGAGAAACUCAUUAUUUCGAGUCCAUUAAAAAGAUUCCGAGGAGUAUAAUGACUAUCGUAGGGGGCGAGUCAAAAAUAGUAGGCUCUGGACGAGCCACUAUCAUACUCCCCAUGGGAACCACUUUCCUCAUUGAGGAAGCAUUAUUGUACUCAGAGUCGACUCGGACUCUCUUGAGUUUUAAGGACAUCCGCGCAAACGGCCUCCAUGUGGAGACCGAUGAUGAUAAUGGCAAAGAGUGCCUACUUAUCACAAAGCGCGAUGCCCACGGUAAGCACGUUGUUG
rnacentral:lncRNA from 1 species